UAAGGCCAGCACUAGGUGUGUUUGUUGGAGGCUUAGUCUAGUUGAAGAGGAGAAGAGCAGCGUGUUCUAGUUGCCGCGUGCGCUACUGCGACUCGUUGUCGGCGGGAAGAGCCAAGGAGACGGAGGAGCACGACGACGAGGAGGAGUGGCAGAAGCGCGCCGCGAGGCCGCGGUGGUCCGGGGACGCCGUUGGCCGUCGACCGCCGCCACCCCCACACCGGCGGCGCCGGCACGCCUGCUAGCGGGAGGGGCGGCGCCGGAACUGCUCCCUGCGCCUCCUCCAGCACGGCCAGCCCUUCGCCCAGCUCCGCGACGAGCCGUACUUCGGGUCCAGCUCUCGCGGCGGCAGCCCGGGGUCGUUUGCUUGGUUGCUGUAGUUCUCGACUGCUAGGCCGCCGGACGAGACGAGCCGAGAAGAGACUACGGCCAGCUAGAAAAGAAGAAGAAGAAGAAGAGAACACGAUCGAGCAAAUCCGAGACUCGUUGGCUGACCAACUGGUCAGCAUAUGAUCUAACAAAGUAAACAAGAAACAUCGAUCCAGAUCGCACGGAGGUGUUACUAAAAGAGAGCCCAUACGAUCACAUUUAAUAACAUUGUAUAUAACGACUAUAUGAGGACGAACAUUACACUACAUGUGGUGUAUAUAUGCACGCUUAACAAAAGGU
rnacentral:rRNA from 1 species